GUGAGAAAAUGUUUUAAACGAUUUAUUGAACAAAAAAAACACGAGGAAAUUUUGUAUUUUUUUAAAAGGCAUUUGAAGACGAGACCCUAAAAGGACGAUACAAAAAAUCUUGCAGGCAAAGGUUAUCUGUGUUUCCCUCCCCCCGCCCCGCCCCCAGAUUCGACUAGAUAUUUCAAAUCUGCAGUGAUUGCGCAAGUCUCCGAGGUAAAAAAUCAGCUGCUCUGCUGGUCACUUGGUCCCAUGCAACCGCCUCCCCCGCCCCACCCCCAUGCAAGCGCCGCCAGCACUCCAGGCCCAGGACGCCCAUGCAUCCAACAGGCUGUUGCUAUGGCAUCCCAGCCUUUAAAGAGUGGGCAACGGAGACUGCCGGUAGUUCAAACUUUAAGGAAUCCACACCAAGGAUACCCCCCCUUCCCCUGCAGUAAAGCGGGGGGCUGAUGCCGAGGGCGACCGAACCUCGCCCAGACAUGGAGGUGAAGGGGGAGUUUUACAACGAUAUCACGCUACUUUUGCAGAACACAAAAAGCAAUAAAGCAAGCUUCAAUGGCAACAAUAUUCCAAUAAAAAGAGGGAAAAGGGUGUGAGGUUAAGGUAUGACAUCUUUCCACGAUCCAACAAAAUGCCCCAAUGAUCUCGAUGGGAAUUUGGUGGUCGCGCCGCCUGCGCCUUUCUUGUGCGAUUUCUUCUCCAGCUUUUUGCUCUUGGCCACGGGCUUCUUCUCCACCUUUCGCGAAGUAGAUGCGACGACCGCCUUCUUGUGCGAUUUAGCGUGGGAGCCGCCACCGCCUCCGGCGCCUCCUUCGCUUCCCCCCUCCAGCUUUUUCCUGUUGAGCUUGAAAGAGCCGUUGGCGCCGGUGCCUUUCACUUGGAGUAAAGUGUCGUUUUGCACCAGCGCCUUGAUGGAGUAUUUGAGAUAGGUCCGCCCGUUUUGCUGGUCGAACCAAGCCACUUUCUUAGCUUCGUAUUGUAGAUUUUGGCCAGCGAGGAACCAUUACGCUCGCCCAGUUUGCGGAUGGAUUCCACCACUAGCUGGCUGUACUUGCCGGGCUGGUUCUUUUUCUUGUUGUUUUUCUUCUUCUUGGAGGGGGAGAGCGCCGCCGACACGCCACCUUUGGCUUUUUUGGCCGCUCCUCUCUUUUCCGGAGCCAGAGGCGCCUCUUCUGCCUCGGUCAGCGGCAGGUCAGCUUCUUCCAGUUCAACAGACAUGCUGGAAAAACGCGCAGGCUUUCAGCCCAAAAGUGUUGGAGAGCGAACGCUCGGCUGACCCUCGGAGCUCUUUUUCUGCACGGCUGCUCUCGGACUGUGGGGCGCCGGGUCAGCAGAGACAAGAAACAAUCAGAGCCACCGAACACGGCUGUCUUCAACACCGCCUGAGAAAAGCAAUCUGCCUGGGCGGGCUUCGG
rnacentral:lncRNA from 1 species